rnacentral:rRNA from 3 species
GCAACAGCUCAAAUUUGAAAUCUGGCGCAAGCCCGAGUUGUAAUUUGUAGAGGAUGUUUCGGGUGAAGCCACGGUCCAAGUCCCUUGGAACAGGACGUCAUAGAGGGUGAGAACCCCGUACCUGGCCGUCGGUGCCCCCCGCUGUGAAACUCCUUCGACGAGUCGAGUUGUUUGGGAAUGCAGCUCUAAAUUGGUGGUAAAUUCCAUCUAAAGCUAAAUACCGGCCAGAGACCGAUAGCGCACAAGUAGAGUGAUCGAAAGAUGAAAAGCACUUUGAAAAGAGAGUUAAAAAGUACGUGAAAUUGUUGAAAGGGAAGCGCUUGCGGCCAGACUUGCCCGCGGUUGCUCAGCCCGCCUUUUGGCGGGUGCACUCUUCCGCGGUCAGGCCAGCAUCGGUUUGGGCGGUCGGAUAAAGGCGUUGGGAACGUGGCCUCCCCUCGGGGAGGUGUUAUAGCCCGGCGCGCAAUGCGACCAGCCCGGACCGAGGUUCGCGCUUUGCUAGGAUGCUGGCGUAAUGGCCGUAAGCGGCCCGUCUUGAAACACGGACCAAGGAGUCUAACAUCUAUGCGAGUGUUUGGGUGUCAAACCCGUGCGCGUAAUGAAAGUGAACGGAGGUGGGAACCGCAAGGUGCACCAUCGACCGAUCCUGAUGUCUUCGGAAGGAUUUGAGUAAGAGCAUAGCUGUUGGGACCCGAAAGAUGGUGAACUAUGCGUGAAUAGGGUGAAGCCAGAGGAAACUCUGGUGGAGGCUCGCAGCGGUUCUGACGUGCAAAUCGAUCGUCAA